rnacentral:rRNA from 1 species
GACGAACGCUGGCGGCGCGCUUAACACAUGCAAGUCGAGCGAGAACCAGGGCUUCGGCCCUGGGGUCAGCGGCGAACGGGUGAGUAACACGUGGGUAAUCUGCCCUCGGUUCUGGGAUAGCCCGGGGAAACCCGGAUUAAUACCGGAUAGCCUCUCGAGCCCUCGGGCUCGUGAGAAAAGGUAGCUUCGGCCUCCGACCGAGGAGGAGCCUGCGGCGGAUUAGCUUGUUGGCGGGGUAACGGCCCACCAAGGCGACGAUCCGUAGCUGGUCUGAGAGGACGAUCAGCCACACUGGGACUGGGACACGGCCCAGACUCCUACGGGAGGCAGCAGUGGGGAAUCUUGCGCAAUGGGCGAAAGCCUGACGCAGCGACGCCGCGUGAGGGAAGAAGGCCUUCGGGUUGUAAACCUCUUUCAGGAGGGACGAAGCCACUCGGGUUAAUAGCCCAGAGGGUGACGGUACCUCCAGAAGAAGCCCCGGCUAACUACGUGCCAGCAGCCGCCGUAAUAC